rnacentral:rRNA from 1 species
UACCAGCACCCCGAGUGGUCGGGACGUUUAUUGGGCCUAAAGCAUCCGUAGCCGGUUCUACAAGUCUUCCGUUAAAUCCAACUGCUUAACAGGUGGGCGCGGAAGAUACUAUAGAGCUAGGAGGCGGGAGAGGCAAGCGGUACUCGAUGGGUAGGGGUAAAAUCCGUUGAUCCAUUGAAGACCACCAGUGGCGAAGGCGGCUUGCCAGAACGCGCUCGACGGUGAGGGAUGAAAGCUGGGGGAGCAAACCGG